rnacentral:rRNA from 1 species
GACGAACGCUGGCGGCGUGCUUAACACAUGCAAGUCGAACGGUGAACCAGAGCUUGCUCUGGGGAUCAGUGGCGAACGGGUGAGUAACACGUGGGCAACCUGCCCCAGACUCUGGGAUAACCUCGGGAAACCGAUGCUAAUACCGGAUACGACCACUUCGGACAUCCGACGGUGGUGGAAAGUUUUUCGGUCUGGGAUGGGCCCGCGGCCUAUCAGCUAGUUGGUGGGGUAAUGGCCUACCAAGGCGACGACGGGUAGCCGGCCUGAGAGGGCGACCGGCCACACUGGAGCUGAGACACGGUCCAGACUCCUACGGGAGGGCAGCAGUGGGGGAAUAUUGCACAAUGGCGGAAAGACCUGAUGCAGCGACGCCG